CCUACGGGGGGCAGCAGUGAGGAAUAUUGGUCAAUGGACGAGAGUCUGAACCAGCCAAGUAGCGUGAAGGAUGACUGCCCUAUGGGUUGUAAACUUCUUUUAUAUGGGAAUAAAAUGUUCCACGUGUGGGAUUUUGUAUGUACCAUAUGAAUAAGGAUCGGCUAACUCCGUGCCAGCAGCCGCGGUAAUACGGAGGAUCCGAGCGUUAUCCGUAUUUAUUGGGUUUAAAGGGAGCGUAGGUGGAUUGUUAAGUCAGUUGUGAAAGUUUGCGGCUCAACCGUAAAAUUGCAGUUGAAACUGGCAGUCUUGAGUACAGUAGAGGUGGGCGGAAUUCGUGGUGUAGCGGUGAAAUGCUUAGAUAUCACGAAGAACUCCGAUUGCGAAGGCAGUUCACUGGACUGCAACUGACACUGAGGCUCGAAAGUGUGGGUAUCAAACAGGAUUAGAUACCCGAGUAGUC
rnacentral:rRNA from 1 species